rnacentral:rRNA from 1 species
AUUGAACGCUGGCGGCAUGCCUUACACAUGCAAGUCGAACGGUAACAGGUCUUCGGAUGCUGACGAGUGGCGAACGGGUGAGUAAUACAUCGGAACGUGCCUAGUAGUGGGGGAUAACUACUCGAAAGAGUGGCUAAUACCGCAUGAGAUCUACGGAUGAAAGCAGGGGAUCGCAAGACCUUGUGCUACUAGAGCGGCCGAUGGCAGAUUAGGUAGUUGGUGGGAUAAAAGCGUACCAAGCCGACGAUAUGUAGCUGGUCUGAGAGGACGAUCAGCCACACUGGGACUGAGACACGGCCCAGACUCCGACGGAAGGCAGCAGUGGGGAAUUUUGGACAAUGGGCGAAAGCCUGAUCCAGCAAUGCCGCGUGCAGGAUGAAGGCCUUCGGGUUGUAAACUGCUUUUGUACGGAACGAAAAGCCCCGGGUUAAUACCCUGGGGUCAUGACGGUACCGUAAGAAUAAGCACCGGCUAACUACGUGCCAGCAGCAGCGGUAA